UACGGAGGGUGCAAGCGUUGUUCGGAAUCACUGGGCGUAAAGCGCGUGUAGGCGGUCGCGCAAGUCUGAUGUGAAAGCCCGGGGCUCACCCCCGGAAGUGCAUUGGAUACUGCGCGACUAGAGUGCCGGAGAGGAGGGUGGAAUUCCUGGUGUAGCGGUGAAAUGCGUAGAUAUCAGGAGGAACACCGGUGGCGAAGGCGGCCCUCUGGACGGAUACUGACGCUGAGACGCGAAAGCGUGGGGAGCAAACAGG
rnacentral:rRNA from 1 species